rnacentral:rRNA from 1 species
GCCUAAAAUCAAGCCUAUAAGUUUGACUUAUAAAUCACACACUCAGUUAACUAAUAAUAAAACAUUUUAAUAUUCUAGUAGAGGCGAUCAAAAAACUUAUAAGCGCUUCAUUUAUAGUACCGCAAGGGAAUGAUGAAAUAGAUUUGAAACAGCCCAAAAGCAUAAAACAGCAGAGAUAAAACCUCG